rnacentral:rRNA from 1 species
GAUGAACGCUGGCGGCGUGCCUAAUACAUGCAAGUCAAACGAAACUUCUUUAUCACCGAGUGCUUGCGCUCACCGAUAAAGAGUUGAGUGGCGAACGGGUGAGUAACACGUGGGCAACCUGCCCAAAAGAGGGGGAUAACACUUGGAAACAGGUGCUAAUACCGCAUAACCAUAGUUACCGCAUGGUAACUAUGUAAAAGGUGGCUAUACUACCGCUUUUGGAUGGGCCCGCGGCGCAUUAGCUAGUUGGUAGGGUAAAGGCUUACCAAGGCAAUGAUGCGUAGCCGAAUUGAGAGGUUGAUCGGCCACAUUGGGACUGAGACACGGCCCAAACUCCUACGGGAGGCAGCAGUAGGGAAUCUUCCACAAUGGGCGAAAGCCUGAUGGAGCAACGCCGCGUGGGUGAAGAAGGUCUUCGGAUCGUAAAACCCUGUUGUUAGAGAAGAAAGUGCGUGAGAGUAACUGUUCACGUUUCGACGGUAUCUAACCAGAAAGCCACGGCUAACUACGUG